GACGAACCGUGCGAACGUUGUUCGGAAUCACUGGGCUUAAAGGGCGCGUAGGCGGACUGCCAAGUCCGGGGUGAAAUCCUCUGGCUUAACCGGAGAAUUGCCUGGGAUACUGGCGGUCUUGAGGGAGGUAGGGGCACGCGGAACUUCCGGUGGAGCGGUGAAAUGCGUUGAUAUCGGAAGGAACGCCGGUGGCGAAAGCGGCGUGCUGGCCCUCUUCUGACGCUGAGGCGCGAAAGCCAGGGGAGCGAACGGG
rnacentral:rRNA from 1 species